GGGGUCCACCACACAAAAAUUGCUUUAAAACUCCUAUUUAAGAGGACUCUGAGAUAUUUGGGGAGGGACAAGGGAGUCAUGAAAGUGGAUAGAGUACUGGAUUGGGAAUCAAAGAACCGAGUUCAAAUUUCUCCUCUGUUACUUACUUCCCAUGUGUUCUUGGGCUAGGCCCUCAAUGUCUCUGGAUUGCAAUGUCAUCAUCUUCAAAAGGAGUAGAUUGGACUAAAAGACCUUUCAGAUUCCUGGCAGCUCUACAUCCAUGAUCUGAAAACUUCAAGAGGGAAGUGGAACCUAUUCCUAUAGUUUGGGGGGUAAAGAUGGGGUACCAAUGUCUUGGGGUACCUACAAUCUCCUCCUACAAUCAUGGCCUCACUCUCUGAUCAUCUCUACUCAACCAGAAACUCAGAUUCCCCUCCUUGCUCUAUUAGAUUCUACAAGGCAGAGAAGAGGAAGCAGUUCAUUCUGGGCACCAACAGAGGGCAGGGAGGAGAAGCACUAGCACAGAGCUCUCUAAUUGCCACAAAAAUACAAGAAAGUGAUCUAGCAAGUGUUGGAGAAGGGUCUGGAUCUGAAUGGACAAAGACAGCACCCAUACAAUAUAACACCAGACAUUAAAGAGAUGUAUGAAAAUAUGUAAAAGAAUUCCA